rnacentral:rRNA from 1 species
CAGUCGCCACGGGAAUACAGAGGGUGCAAGCGUUAAUCGGAAUUACUGGGCGUAAAGCGCGCGUAGGUGGUUCGCCAAGUUGGAUGUGAAAUCCCCGGGCUCAACCUGGGAACUGCAUCCAAAACUGGCGAGCUAGAGUAUGGUAGAGGGUGGUGGAAUUUCCUGUGUAGCGGUGAAAUGCGUAGAUAUAGGAGGGAACAUCAGUGGCGAAGGCGACCACCUGGACUGAUACUGACACUGAGGUGCGAAAGCGUGGGGAGCAAACAGGAUUAGAUACCCGUGUAGUCCCUGUCUCUUAUAC